UUUCGCAUGGCUCACUUUGUUAAAGCACUGCAUUCCAGAGCAGAGGUGUCUGGGUUCGAGCCCCGGUCAGAAUA